UACGGGGGGGGCAAGCGUUGUUCGGAAUUACUGGGCGUAAAGGGCUCGUAGGCGGCCAACUAAGUCAUACGUGAAAUCCCUCGGCUUAACCGGGGAACUGCGUCUGAUACUGGAUGGCUUGAGUUCGGGAGAGGGAUGCGGAAUUCCAGGUGUAGCGGUGAAAUGCGUAGAUAUCUGGAGGAACACCGAUGGCGAAGGCAGGUCUCUGGGCCAUAACUGACGCUGAGAAGCGAAAGCAUGGGGAGCGAACAGG
rnacentral:rRNA from 1 species